GCCAAGUAUUUCUGCUCUAGUUUUCACUAAAACUACGUUUACGCUUCGAGGGUCGUCUCCCUCAGCAGUGGCUCUGCGUACCGAGCCCACUGCCCUUCACCCCGACGACCCGUCAGGUCCAGAACCAACCUCAGCAGUGGUGGGUCCCAUCAGGGACUACAACGAACGGGCGAAACAUCUGGUGUGAGGCAAACCGUCUAAUCCUGAAUGCCAACAGAAGAAAUUGCCCGGUGAAGAAAGCUCAGCAGCGUCUGGAUGAGAAUAGGGCUUGUCGCGAUAAACAAUAAAUCAAUUAAUCGCACGAUAAAUUAAAAUUAUCUACCUCAUUUGAAUUUAUUGCGUGUCAUCCAGUGACGACACUGGAUGAGAAAAGGCUCAACUCCGCUGACGCCUCCCUUCCUCAUUUCCUUAGCGUAAUGGAGGAGUGAACUAUUGCAUCAGGCAGUCGGAUUGUUAUCUAAAUAUAAUGAUUAUUGAUGGGAUAUUUAGUAUACAGACUUCAUAAUCUGUAUUCUUUUGGUUGAAUGUACCGUAGUUUUUAUUUCCACUUUGGUUUUAUGUUGUUUAGUUUUUAUUCAACUGCAUUUUUAACGUAGACUGAGUCCAUUUUAUUUUUGCUUUUGGUUGUUUUGUUUAUUUUUUUAUCAGUUCCAGUGUUAAAUGUUCUUUUGAAAAAAAAAAAGUAUCUUAUUUUUGGCAGGAUGUUGCUUGCAUUACCAUUGCAUCAGUUUAAAAAAUGGUCUU